UUAUUGUAUAUAGUUGGACUUAUCAGAUGUUACAUGUUACCUUAUUAGUAAAACCCUUUGCGGUAAACUUUUAGGGGUAAACUUUUAGCGGUCAACAGAAAAUAUCGGCACCCUGCCUCCACCCUCACUCUCUUUACCAAGCAAACAGAAAAACACAGGUAGACACAGGUGAUAUUAAUUAGACAAUCACUCAGCUCCAGUCACACACACACCUCCAAACACACACACCCUAGUGACAGGAAAUAGAAUAACACAUCCUUGCCUCUACACCAGUAAAACCAUAACAGUUACUUU